AUCACUUCCCUGCCUUUUGGCUAAGAUCAAGUGUAAUAUCUGUUCUUAUCAGUUUAAUAGCUGAUACAUCCUUUAUCCGAGGACAAUAUAGUAAAUGGGUUUUUGGACUAGGGGCUGGAAUACGAGCUUGCUCCAUCCACUCCAUGCAUUGACCUGGUACUGCAGUAUCUCCAGGAAUGGUGUACCCCUC